CAACGGGGGAGCGGCGGCAGUCGACCCCGCGCCAUGAGGACGUGAGCUACCAGUUGGAAAGCGACUGCAAGAAGAAUGGACUUUGCUUACACUGUGGAGCUGCUUUCCCGUAUCUGGAAGAUAAUGAGCUACCCUCUCAAUCCUCUCUUCUCCUGCAAAUGAGACACUCUUCCAGGAAAAGGAACCAUAGAGCUGGAUGGAUUUCAAGACCCUAACCCGAGUGUUUGAGCUUAAAGAAUUUAAAGGCCUUAACUUGGCCCUUAGAAUGGAAGACUACAUUUCCUUCCAGGAUGAGAAAGGAUCAUGUUCUGGCUGUUGCAUUACACCCUAAUGUCUCUUUGGCCUUUGCCUUAACCAAGUCACAUUGGUCACCUUAGAAGGUCUGCAGACCCUGUCAGGUCCAAGUGAUGAAUGUUAACCUUCAACUUUUCAAGAUUUUCC